rnacentral:rRNA from 1 species
CCUACGGGGGGCAGCAGUGAGGAAUAUUGGUCAAUGGACGGAAGUCUGAACCAGCCAUGCCGCGUGCAGGAAGACGGCCCUAUGAGUUGUAAACUGCUUUUGUACAAGGGUAAACCUGAAUACGUGUAUUCAGCUGAAAGUAAUGUACGAAUAAGGAUCGGCUAACUCCGUGCCAGCAGCCGCGGGAAUACGGAGGAUCCAAGCGUUAUCCGGAUUUAUUGGGUUUAAAGGGUGCGUAGGCGGAUUGAUAAGUUAGUGGUGAAAUGUCCGGGCUUAAAUCGGGAACUGCCUCUAAUACUGUUGAUCUAGAGAGUAGAUGCGGUAGGCGGAAUGUAUGGUGUAGCGGUGAAAUGCUUAGAGAUCAUACAGAACACCGAUUGCGAAGGCAGCUUACCAAUCUAUAUCUGACGUUGAGGCACGAAAGCGUGGGGAGCGAACAGGAUUAGAUACCCUUGUAGUC